GCUUACGGCCAUACCACUCUGAAAAGGCCUGAUCUCAUCUGACCUCUGAAAGCAAAGCAGAGUUGGCCUGGUUAGGUAAUUGGUUGGGAGACUGAAUGGGAAUACUAGGUGCUGUAAGCU
ensembl:rRNA 5S_rRNA 5S ribosomal RNA